rnacentral:lncRNA from 1 species
UGCUCACAUACAGGUGAAAGGGUUUAUCAGACAAGGAUUUAUUGGAUAUUUGACCCUAUUAAAUGAGGAUGACAGUUAAUGAAAACAUGUUAGAAUAUGGAGAUGAGCCAUUACGUCAAGAUUCACUUCGGUCUUACAGGUUUGAGGAUGAUGAGAUGGAAAGACAGGAAAAUCCUAUUUAUGGAAAUAUCUGUUUAGAUGGAGGAGGGCAUUUUGAAAUGUCUCCGGAGGUGUGCUAUGAACAAAUGUCCCAUGCAAGCACAGCAAAGCAGGGAUUAAAGGUUCAGCAGGGGGACGUGUCCUAUGCCUCUCUGGAUCUGACUGCCAAUAAAAAGCGUAGGAAGAAGAGAAAAUACCACAAGCAGGCUCAAACUCACCAGGCCCAGACACAUCCUCAACCCACAUCCCAGCAGAACGGCAUGGACCAGGAUGACGAGGCUGAUGUCACCCUCCCGUCCCGGAGCAGCAGCCUCAUGGUUUCACGUCACAGUAUCUACCUCAACAGUCAUCAAGUAGCCCUGGAGGCAGAAGAGAGGGAGAGGGACAGAGAGAGGGAGAGGGAGAGAGUAAGAGAGAAGGAAAUAGAAAGAGAGAGAGAUGAUAAUGCAGAGAUAGAGUUUGAGAUGCACAGAAAUGUGCAUGAAGACUUUGAUCACUCCCUCAGUAGAUCAAGACAAAGUCUAGAACAGGACAGUUAACAGUUUUAGAGUUAAAAAAAAACUUUAGCGUCUUAAAAGUUGAAACACAGGAUACUGUGGGGUGGUGCUGUCAGCAGCUGUGAUAUUUAAAGCUCAUCGUUAAAGUACAUAAGUCACACCCCAAGUCAUAAUUUCUGUCUGUUCAAAAGCAUGCAGAGGAGACCAGCUAUUUGUUCUGAGGUUGUGUCCAAUCGAGACACAUCUAAAUCAGUUUAUCACUUUAAAUGUGCUUUCUUAUUUCCUGCAUUUGAAGGUUGGUCUGUUUGUUGUUGUACUUACAGUAAGAAGAAUAUGUUAACAAAUAUUUAUCUGAUUGUUUUUUAUGAUAAUUUUCAGGAUCACAUAAAUGUAUAUUUGUGCAAAUAAGGUUGACUGAUGACUCAAGUCAUUUGAUGUACCUAUGCACAGGAAAAUAAGGACUGUUUUAUAGCUAUUACUCAGAGUUGGAAUAUUUCUGUGGCUUUGUCCUGAUAUUAAAGGUAUUGGUG